rnacentral:lncRNA from 1 species
UCUUGCCAAUCUAAGGUGUGAAGGUCUGGGCCGGGUGCGAUGGCUCACGCCUGUAAUCCCAGCACUUUGGGAGGCUGAGGCAGGCAGAUCUCUUGAGGCCAGGAGUUUGAGACCAGCCUGGCCAACAUGGUGAAACCCCGUCUCUACAAAAAAUACAAAAAUUAGUCAGGCAUGGUAGCGGGUGCCUGAAAUCUCAGUUACUCAGGAGGCUGAGGUGGGAGAAUUGCUUGAACCCAGGAGGCGGAGGUUGCCUUGAACCGAG